rnacentral:rRNA from 1 species
UAGGGAAUCUUCGGCAAUGGACGAAAGUCUGACCGAGCAACGCCGCGUGAGUGAAGAAGGUUUUCGGAUCGUAAACUCUGUUGUUAGAGAAGAACAAGGGUGAGAGUAACUGUUCACCCCUUGACGGUAUCUAACCAGAAAGCCACGGCUAACUACGUGCCAG